ACGAACGCUGGCGGCGUGCCUCAUACAUGCAAGUAGAACGCACAGUUUAUACCGUAGCUUGCUACACCAUAGACUGUGAGUUGCGAACGGGUGAGUAACGCGUAGGUAACCUGCCUGGUAGCGGGGGAUAACUAUUGGAAACGAUAGCUAAUACCGCAUAUUAUUGAUUAUUGCAUGAUAAUUGAUUGAAAGAUGCUAUUGCAUCACUACCAGAUGGACCUGCGUUGUAUUAGCUAGUAGGUGAGGUAACGGCUCACCUAGGCGACGAUACAUAGCCGACCUGAGAGGGUGAUCGGCCACACUGGGACUGAGACACGGCCCAGACUCCUACGGGAGGCAGCAGUAGGGAAUCUUCGGCAAUGGACGAAAGUCUGACCGAGCAACGCCGCGUGAGUGAAGAAGGUUUUCGGAUCGUAAAGCUCUGUUGUAAGAGAAGAACGGGUGUGAGAGUGGAAAGUUCACACUGUGACGGUAUCUUACCAGAAAGGGACGGCUAACUACGUG
rnacentral:rRNA from 1 species